rnacentral:rRNA from 1 species
GAUGAACGCUGGCGGCGUGCCUAAUACAUGCAAGUCGAGCGAAUGGAUUAAGAGCUUGCUCUUAUGAGGUUAGCGGCGGACGGGUGAGUAACACGUGGGUAACCUGCCCAUAAGACUGGGAUAACUCCAGGAAACCGGGGCUAAUACCGGAUAACAUUUUGAACCGCAUGGUUCGAAAUUGAAAGGCGGCUUCGGCUGUCACUUAUGGAUGGACCCGCGUCGCAUUAGCUAGUUGGUGAGGUAACGGCUCACCAAGGCAACGAUGCGUAGCCGACCUGAGAGGAUGAUCGGCCACACUGGGACUGAGACACGGCCCAGACUCCUACGGGAGGCAGCAGUAGGGAAUCUUCCGCAAUGGACGAAAGUCUGACGGAGCAACGCCGCGUGAGUGAUGAAGGCUUUCGGGUCGUAAAACUCUGUUGUUAGGGAAGAGCAAGUGCUAGCUGAAUAAGCUGGCACCUUGACGGUACCUAACCAGAAAGCCACGGCUAACUACGUGCCAGCCGCCGCAGUAA